AUUGAACGCUGGCGGCAGGCCUAACACAUGCAAGUCGAACGAGUGGCGGACGGGUGAGUAAUGUCUGGGAAACUGCCUGAUGGAGGGGGAUAACUACUGGAAACGGUAGCUAAUACCGCAUCCCAUCCGUUGUGCCCCUAUGGGAUUAGCUUGUUGGGUGGGUAACGGCUCACCAAGGCGUCGAUCCCUAGCUGGGCUGAGAGGAUGACCAGCCACACUGGAACUGAGACACGGUCCAGACUCCUACGGGAGGCAGCAGGGGGGAAUAUGGCACAAUGGGCGCAAGUCUGAUGCAGCCAUGCCGCGUGUAUGAAGAAGGCCUUCGGGUUGUAAAGUACUUUCAGCGGGGAGGCGUUACCCGAAGAAGAAGCACCGGCUAACUCCGUGCCAGCAGCCGCGGUAAGAC
rnacentral:rRNA from 1 species